CUCACCUCCCCUCUCUUCUCCCGCUAUUCCUCUCUCAUUUCCUCUCUUUCUCUCUCUUCUCCCUCUCUCCUUCAGCCUCCUCCCCCCUCUGUCUUUCUCUCCCCCUCCCUCUCUUCUCUCCCCCUCCCUCUGCCCCCCUCCCUCUCUCUUCCCUCUCCCUCCAAGUCUGGCACUGAUCGCGAACUGUUUUGCUUUGCUCCGGGAAGAGUGCAGACACAUAACGUGAAAUCCCGAGCUUUUUGCGUGGUGCAUUUAAAAUGCUUCCUUAUUUAUAUUACCCUCCUUCCCUCACCUCUCCCACCCCCUCACCAGUCCUUCCAAAUUUCCCUAGAAAUCUGUGUAAAGCGUGCCGAGGGGAAAACAUUUGCACAAAAAGUGAAGGAGCUCGCCAAGGUCAUACAAGCAUGUGUAUUUCAUUCUUAUCAGAACGAUGGAAACGUGGAACAAAGUGAACUGAACUGCUUCUAUUUCACUCCUUAUUCACGAACGUUCCACCAGUACUCUCCGACAUCAGCUUGCUGAUGAGUCAGAAAAGACUGAAAGCAAAAGGGACUAUAUAGAUUGCUCUACCCUUCCCUUUCCUUCUAUGUCAUCAUCUUUAGCAUGGGGUGGUUGGCAAAUACAGGGAAGGAACACGAGUAAGAAAUGAUAUGAUGGGGUUCCUUGGUCACAGUAUUUUGUAGAACCCCAAUUCCUUCUUUCUGCCUAUGAAGCAAGUUGUGGUUCAAACAGCAUGACCUCGUGCUCCUAUCAAUGCCCCGCUUGCUCGUAAACUUACCUUUUACUUACUUAGAGUCUCACUGAGCUCCCACUGGAAUUCUGUGCUCUCGGGGUACUGCCAACACUCUGGGGCAGCAAGGAGUGGUGAACAUGCAAAUUGUGCGAAUCUUCUCUACUCACGCAUUCUCCAUUGUCCCACAGACUUUACUUACGAAACACAGUUCAAAGGUAAAGUUAUUAAGAAUCUCAAGACAGUGACGGCAGAGUAUUAAACCAAGCACAAGACCUUUCUGAGCACAGGGCCAUGUGUGACUACACAAGUUGCACCCCCAUGAAGCCAGCCUGGGCAGGAGGAGGUGAGAGGUAACCCAGAUCCCAGACUGAGAAGGCUGUUGCUCAUCUUCCCUCAUCAAGUGAAUAAUCCAUCUGCAGCAAAAGAACUUCAGCAGCUUCCAUUUUUGAUCCAUUGGGGUUUUCUCCUCUAACCAAGUCCUACUCUGUGAAAAGUCCACCACUUCCUGGUGAUGGUGUCACAGCUUUGAAGAGAGAAUUCAUCUGCCGAUCUCUGCUGAGUCUGCUGAAGCCUUGAGUUAGAGCCCAGGCCUUGGAACUGAACUAUCCAUCCAGUGCCUACCCGCCGCUUUCAAGCUUGGCUCCCUCAAGCCUGAUAUGUGCUUAGAUUUCACCAUCUACAAAUGAAAAAAAGAAUACUUAGCUUGCUUCAUGAAUAAUUGUGCUAAUUAUUUAGUACUUAUUAUUGUUAGCUAUUACUUAUCUCACCACUGCUCUGAAGUCGGCCCAGGGAUCUCUUGGUCCAGGAUGGCAGGCUCUCAGAAAUGAAUUUGGCAGUAAAUUCAAUCGAUGUUGAUAUGGAAAAAGACUUGAGGCUUAAAGGGUCAAGAGGCUCUAUAUUCCUGAUGGACCCCAGUAGAAAGGGGAUUUUUUCCUUCCUUCAUCAGUUCUUCCCUACUCCUUACUCUCUAAGGAGGAAAGCUAGAGGGCACCUUAGAAAUGUGAGGUGGAGUGGAGUGGAAAUAAGACGGCAUUAAAAUGCAUCCAACCUAGAGAAAGAAGACCCUCCGUUCUGUUGGCUCUCCAUCCUUGGUUCAAGGACUUUGCGAGUUGUGUUUUUCAGGCUUAAUCUAGUUUUUCUUUCUUGCUUGGUCCAUUAAGUGACAGCAACACCCUUUUCUGAAAUAUUUAGCUUGGACUAAGCCACUCAGAAUGCCUAGAGAAAAGAGGAAAAGGAAUUACUUUUAUUAUUUUAUAUAACUUUUCCUAGUCUUGGAGGCUGCUACAGUGACAGCCCAGUUAGUGGACUGGAAGACCAAUCACUGAAUAAGUAUUUACUGUUUGUGAAUGAGCCUAGCACAGUGCUUGAUCCAUGGUGGGUGUUUAAUAAAU
ensembl:lncRNA